AAUUCAAUACAUCGCAUUAUUUUUCAUCUUCUUAAAGAGAUUGAUUCACAUAUUUAUCUUAUUGUCAAUGAAAUUGUUGUUUGACCCCAUAAUUCUAUUCAAUCAUACUGGACUUACUGAGAUUUAAUAGUCCAAAAAAUAGAAUUUCGUAACUUUGAAACUUAUAAUGUGUCCCUUAUGCUGUAAAAUCAUCAUGGAAUUACCUUGAUUGGUUGACUUGUGCUCUGCAAUCGCUCGCGCCGUCUUGAAAAUAGAAGGUCUUAUGUAAUCCUGACUUUGAAGAGCCAAUUGAUGUCG
rnacentral:lncRNA from 1 species